UACGUAGGCAGCGAGCGUUGUUCGGAGUUACUGGGCGUAAAGGGUGUGUAGGCGGUUUUUUAAGUUUGGUGUGAAAUCUCCCGGCUCAACUGGGAGGGUGCGCCGAAUACUGAAUGACUUGGAGUGCGGGAGAGGAAAGUGGAAUUCCUGGUGUAGCGGUGAAAUGCGUAGAUAUCUGGAGGAACACCGGUGGCGAAGGCGGCAUCCUGGACCGGUAUUGACGCUGAGGCGCGAAAGCUAGGGGAGCAAACGGG
rnacentral:rRNA from 1 species